AACACAGUUUUUUCGCCGAUCUAUUUCGCAGCCCGCUAGUAGCAACGUAAACACAGAAUAGAUACUGGGAAGCAACGAAGAACCGGCCAGCAAUUACUAGGGUUCGUCGAGUUCGAUCCUCUCGAUCGGCAUGGCGGCAGACGAUGGCGCGGGCCCUGCUCCGCCAUCCUCCUCCUCCUCCCCGCCCGUCGCGAUUCAGUACCAGCAGCGGCACGAGCCAGGGUCAUCGGCCGCCUACUGAUCAUCAGUCUGACCAUCUGCAGCGUCAUCACGACCAACUGAGGCCCAGGCAAGAGGGAUUUUCGAGGAGGAGCAGAAAAGGGCUGCAAUUUGGUUUCGUUGCCUGCAAUCGAUACUUGGCGUGGCAAUCUUCUCAGGCUCCGGUUAUGGGCUCUACUACGGGAUCUAGCUAGUUCCUGUUAUUAUGUUUUUAGCUACCCCCGCGUCAUGUUGCAUAAUAAUAAUUCUGGCGUGUGUCUAUUAUGUCUGGUGCCGAAUAAUUCUGUUUAAUUCGGGAUCGAACCAGGAUGUAUAUCUGUUGAAUUCAGUGUUAUGGUUCGCACUAGUAGCAAUUUGUGGUUGAUUUAA